rnacentral:rRNA from 1 species
GACGAAGGUAGCGAGCGUUGUUCGGAAUCACUGGGCAUAAAGCGCACGUAGGCGGCGACGUAAGUCGGGUGUGAAAUCCCUCGGCCCAACCGAGGAACUGCGCCCGAUACUGCGUUGCUUGAGGAUCAGAGGGGUGCACGGAAUUUCCGGUGGAGCGGUGAAAUGCGUUGAUAUCGGAAGGAACGUCGGCGGCGAAAGCGGUGCACUGGCUGAUUUCUGACGCUGAGGUGCGAAAGCCAGGGGAGCAAACGGG